AUGAUGGAGCUUAUCUCUGGCCCAGCAAUCAUCCAGUGUUUCAGAGCAUUCAAAAAUUAUUUGUCGAACCAAUUGCCCCUUCCUCGCCUUUGACCAAGGCAUUGCUUUGCUCCUGAGCUUUGUCCGAAGCAAAGGAAGAGAAGACCCGACGGCUCUUCUGUUUAGAGCUGAAACCCGUCAUGAACUCCUUUAAAACAGAAGGAUGUGAUGACUCGGGCGUGGACAAAUCAGGAAUGUGCACAGCCAGCCAGCGGACAUAAGUGAUGUGGUCAAGGGCAAAGAACCAUGGCAUGAACAUUGUCAGCGACUCUAUAUAUUUUUUUAAGUCAGCAGAACGGAUUGAGUUAACAAGCUGAAGGACAAACAGCUGCAAUUUCAAAACCAGCAUCCACCAUGCAAACUGUGGCUGAUCUUUCUCCAUCUUGGUACUCCAGUCUUCAAAGCUAGUAGAUGUUGUUCACUGCACAAAUAUUUGAAUGUCAAUGAGAUUGUUAUUUACGCUGUACUUUGAGUUUGUUUAUUGAAUUUCUGCACUUUUUUUAGUCAUAGUGCAGUAUGCUGUUGUAACGCUGCCAAGAAACCCUGUCCUUCGUUUAACUUGGACAAGUCAACAUGGAUGGGGCAAGAACCAAGGGUAAGGAAUCCUUUAAGUCUCUCUGCCCCAUAGACAUACCCAGCACCAUCUCCCCUUGCAGAGCAAAUGAAAUGUUCUUUAGUAUCUGUCUGGCAUAAAGCACAAAGGUCUCAGUUGAUUUCUUUACAUCCUCUCUCAUCCUCUCCUCUUGUUUCAAGUAAUGCAACGUCAACGCGAUUGAAUCUUCGACCCUCUCUCAUCCUCUCCUCUUGUUUCAAGUAAUGCAACGUCAAAGCUAUUGAAUCUUCGAGCCAUUGUGGUUAAUGAAGAAAAAUGUGAUAUGGGUGUGUAUUUUUUAUCGUUGAUCCAUGGAAUAGUAGGUUGAUAAAGUUCAUUUUUGAGUUGUUUUCUUAAUAUGCAUUAAGCGAAAAAAUACGUUUGAUUUGCACGAUUAAAAACCAUACGCAACGUGUAUUACGAUAAAGCUCAGUCACCAUAUCCGUUACUGUAUGUAAAUGAUGUUAUUUUUUCUCUUAUCCAACACAUUCAUGAAACAGAAACACUUAUUUCAAAUAAAAGUAAAACACUCACUCACAAAUAAAGUCUAAGAACGAAAUAUUAUGGUUGUUUUGUCAUCAAUCGUCAGAUCCUGAAAUUUGAUGUACACAAGGAAUUAGUAGGUUGUGGUCGCUAUGGAGCACCAUACUUUUUCGCCUAUAAUUUUGCUAGGCUAGCCCGAGAGUUGACCCCAGACCUGCCACACGGCCGAUGUUAUUGUUGUGAUUAUUUUUAAUUUCUAUACAUGUACUCUAUAGCGCUUAUGAUUGUAUUUAUUUUUAAUGCAUUAGUCCUUUUGGCUAAAUUUUAAAAAAAAUAUUCACUACAGUUGCGCCUUAAUCGUAGUAAAACGGCAGCUCUGUGAACUAUCAACACAGCGAAGGUCUACCGGAAACGUGUGUGUGGUAGGCCUGGGCAGGACUUGGACUUGGACUUGAGACUUGAAAUUCUCGUGUCCAUCAAGUAGUGUUUGAGAUCAAGUAUUUAGAACUGAGCAAGUCCAAGUCUUGCGUGGCCUAGCAAAAUAGAUCUAUCCCUCAAUCAAAAGAUACAAUUAUUUUAACGCACAGUAGAUCUACAAAUAUCUACAAAUAUUGAGUAAAGACUCAGUGAACCAAUGUCUAAAGAAAUGUUAAAAAUUGGCAUGUUUUUUAAAUUAACUUAGUGCAUUUAGUUUGACUGUUUGAAUUUAAAUACACCUACCACCCCUACUACUUGCUCAGACUUGCUCGUCCUAGGCGGAUUGGUUGAGUCCAUUUCUUCGAUAAGGGGUAGGCAGUAGGCAGUACCACCCCUAUUACUUGCUAGGAUUUGCACGCCCUUGGCGUAUUGGUUGAGUCCACUUCCUCAAUAAGGCGUAGGCAGGCCUAGGCCCGGAUAAGGCUUCAAUGCCAUCAUUGCCAUCCAAGGCUGAAGCAAUUCCUGAGUUUAUUAAUACAACAGAGAACAGAACAAAAAACAAACGAACGAAGGAAAAAAAAAA